AUCUAUGGCCGUGCCACCCUGAACAAGCCCGAUCCCAUCUGAUCUCAGAAGCUAAGCAGGAUCAGGCCUGGUUAGUACUUGGAUGGGAGAUCACUAGAAAGACCAGGUGCUGUAGACG
rnacentral:rRNA from 1 species